CGCAAGCCUGACGGAGCAAGACCGCGUGCGGGAUGACGGCCUAAUGGUUGUAAACCGCUUUUCUCUGGGAAGAUGAUGACGGUACCAGAGGAAUCAGCCUCGGCUAACUCCGUGCCAGCAGCCGCGGUAAUACGGAGGAGGCAAGCGUUAUCCGGAAUUAUUGGGCGUAAAGCGUCCGCAGGGGGCACAUCAAGUCUGCUGUUAAAGGCUGGAGCUUAACUCCGGUAGAGCAGUGGAAACUGGUGUGCUAGAGGGCGACAGGGGUAGAGGAAAUUCCCAGUGUAGCGGUGAAAUGCGUAGAGAUUGGGAAGAACACCGGUGGCGAAAGCGCUCUACUGGGUCGCACCUGACCCUCAGGGACGAAAGCUAAGGUAGCG
rnacentral:rRNA from 1 species